UACGGAGGGUGCAAGCGUUAUCCGGAUUCACUGGGUUUAAAGGGUGCGUAGGUGGGCUGGUAAGUCAGUGGUGAAAUCUCCAGGCUUAACUUGGAAACUGCCAUUGAUACUAUUAGUCUUGAAUACCGUGGAGGUCAGCGGAAUAUGUCAUGUAGCGGUGAAAUGCUUAGAUAUGACAUAGAACACCAAUUGCGAAGGCAGCUGGCUACACGAAUAUUGACACUGAUGCACGAAGCGUGGGGAUCAAACAGGA
rnacentral:rRNA from 1 species